rfam:Anopheles gambiae str. PEST whole genome shotgun sequencing project, whole genome shotgun sequence.
AUUCUGGUUGAUCCUACCAGUGAUAUACGCUCGUCUCAAAGGUUAAGCCAUGCAUGUCUAAGUACAAGCUUCCUAGAAAGUGAAACCGCAUAAGGCUCAGUAUAACAGCUAUAAUUUACAAGAUCCUCAUCCAAACAGUUACUUGGAUAACUGUGGAAAAGCCAGAGCUAAUACAUGCAUUAUGCCGGGACUGUUGGCCUCCGGGUCGGCGGAACUGGUGCACUUAUUAGUUAAACCAAUCGCCUCCGGGCGCUUUGAGUUGAAAUCUGGAUAAGGAUGCCGAUCGUACGGUCGCUUGCGAGUGACGACAGAUCUUUCAAAUGUCUGCCCUAUCAACUAUUGAUGGUAGUGUAGAGGACUACCAUGGUUGCGACGGGUAACGGGGAAUCAGGGUUCGAUUCCGGAGAGGGAGCCUGAGAAAUGGCUACCACAUCCAAGGAAGGCAGCAGGCGCGUAAAUUACCCAAUCCCGGCACGGGGAGGUAGUGACGAGAAAUAACAAUAUGGACCUCUCUAACGAUGGUCCAUAAUUGGAAUGAGUUGAGCAUAAAUCCUUUUGCAAGGAUCAAGUGGAGGGCAAGUCUGGUGCCAGCAGCCGCGGUAAUUCCAGCUCCACUAGCGUAUAUUAAAGUUGUUGCGGUUAAAACGUUCGAAGUUGAUACCCCGUCCAGACUCGCGUCCGUCGCGGGCGCCCGGCCUCUCGGUUGGGACCGUCCGUGUACGCGCUCGCGGCUGCGACUCACAAUGGUGUACCUGGGCGUUCUACUCCGUGACGGGU